CGAAGUGGUAGACGACCGGCUCUGUUGCCAACCGGUUCCAAAGAAUCCCUUGUAAAGGUAAUCGCAUAACACCUCCCUCCUAGGGGUUUGGGCCCUUAUGAAAGCCGUGGGACCCUUGCAUGUCUAAUAAGUUCCCUUCGGAACUUUGUGCCUUGUGCCUAGGGUUCCGACUAUCUUGGCGCCCAGUACUGCCAACCAUCCGUCAGUGCGGAGGAGUGCUGCUUUGGGCAUCCUAUGGGAGAGGCCAAGACUGGGGUUUCCUGCGAGGAGCAGAAACAGUUUUUUGAGUCCAUAUACCCAAGUUGUAUGCCCGUUC